AUAUACCACCUCUCGUCUAUAUAUCACGAAACAAGCCUGUACAAUAAGCUGUCGGUCCAGUGAACCUCAACAGUCUCUAAGGUUACAAUGAGGCCUCCGUGACAAUGCCGGCGCUGCAGAGAGGUCCGAGGAGCAAUGUAAAACCCAGUACGGGUCCCAUUGUCUGAUAGCUGCAGUAUCCCGUUGGUGUGAUAGCAUUUUGUCAUUGCCACCAGUGUGAGCUGCAACUCUUCAGCACCCCCCAUCCCCAACCCCGCCUCCUUUCCUUUAACCAACUGCUGCCUAAUUUCACAUUAAAACACAACCAGUUUCGUUUUAUCCUUUUCGCAAAUUAAUUAUUCUUUCCGAAAAAAAUAUCCUUUGUUUAUAACGUAUCAUACAAAAAAUGAAGACCUGUUGUAUUUCACAGGGAAAACAAAAGCUUUUUUUCCCCAAAUACGUCAAAUAUGCAUUUUGAAAGAAUCUCACUGAGAAAUCAAUGCAAAGAAAACGGUGACCUAAUCUUUGUUUUUUAAGAAAGCUGGAAAAUUCUCACAUACACAAAUAAACAAAUAACCGCACCGUACCUGCUACAGCCUAUUUAGUAAGCGGUUCAUUAUCUCAUUACCAACCUUUUUCCUCAAAUGUGCUGUAUAUUAGAAACUCACAAUCCUUUUAUAAAAUAAGGAAAAAAAGUCUAGCAGCAACAUCUUACAGCUUUAAGCAAACAAUGACAUCAUAAUAAGAGCCCCGCGCUAAUAUUGCAGUAACAUUCGCUGCCCGCAGAUUUACCCAAUCCAUCGUUAAAAGGCGAACGCCUUCCGCAGCGGAGCACAACUGCUGCAUCUCCUCUCCCGUCCAUUGCAAUCGCUCCACGGGUUUGCCACAAAUGCACGUUUUUUAUUUUUACUUUAUUUUUUUUUUAAAUUCUUUUGUAAGCUACUGUCGAGCUCAGCGACGGAAAAGGUGCUCGUCGGUUCUCUCCUUUUCUUCGAUUAUUUCACACCAUUUUUCAUUGUCCUGAAACAGAGUAAUGAAAAAGAAGCAGACGGAUCUCGUCAGAUCUGAAAAGCCGGGCGGGCGCUCUAUUCAUCUCCCAGCUUUUCCGGCGCCCUCCGCGUUUGCCCCCUCCAAUAUCUUCUACCUCACUCCGCCAAGGUCUAUAAGAAGACUGGGACACGUCCCUUUCAAUUUAUCCCUUUUUUAUCUUGAUCUUCCUAGGCAACAGUUUUCGGUCCAGCCCUGGGUUUUUUUUCAGCUGAUCUGAUCCAGUCUAGAGGAUUACAGCUCCAUGUUUCCAUCCCAGACAUUCUCAACCCAUCUGCUGAUUGGGUUCAGCACAAGAGGAUUACAUUGGGACCUAAUGACGUCAUGGCCAGGGCCCAAGUUCUCCCCCAUUAACCAAAUCCUCAUCAGCAAGAUGUCCUUGAAACCGCAGGGGCUGACAUUCUAGAGAAAAUCCUGGCAAACUUUGACAUUUUUUCAUAAUCAAAAGCUUUUAUACAGUCUUUGCAACGCAUAUGGCCAGCUAGGAUGGUAUUUAAAGGAAGAAUUCAAGAGGGAGGAAACCUACAAUCAAUGAAGCAUCGCCUGCUCACACCUGUCAAAUCCUUCUCCGUAUCCAUCUGAACUUCCUUCAGCUCCUCCUCCAGCUUCAUCUUUGCCCCCACAGCAGUAGCUCCUUGGACUCCAAGGUUAUACUUACAGUCAAGAAGGAUUUCUUUCAAAGAAUCUAACUUUCUGUCUAACAAUAUCAGGAUUUGUCAGAACCCGUUGAACAUUGCAGCCCAAAUAGCAAGAGAACACAGAUUUUGCACUGCUGCCAUUCUACACAUAUAACCCAACUAUGGGAUUAAUGAAGUGAAAUAUUUCCAGCUGAAAUUUUCAUUCAGUUAUAAGCAGACAAUUGUGUUUUAUACCUCUGUUUUGUGGCAAAAUUCUGCACAAAUUGAGGGUUCCGCCUCAUUCCCAAAAACUAACAAAGAAGUACCAAUCUCCUUCUCUGUAAGACUUUGCUCACAAUAUC